rnacentral:rRNA from 1 species
CUAUUUAUUCCAAGAAAAGCUCAUUCGACUUUGAGUCUAGAUUACCUGUACCGUAAACCGACACAGGUGAGUGGGUUGAAUAAACUAAGGGGAGCGAGAUAACUCUCUCUAAGGAACUCGGCAAAUUGGCUCUGUACCUUCGGAAGAAAGAGUGCCCCUUCAUGGGGCCGCAGUGAAGAGAUCCAGGCGACUGUUUACCAAAAACACAGGUCUCCGCAAAGUCGUAAGACGACGUAUGGGGGCUGACACCUGCCCAGUGCCAGAAGGUUAAAGAAGUUGGUCAAUCUUUGAUGAAGCUAACAACUGAAGCCCUGGUGAACGGCGGCAGUAACAAUAACUGUCCUAAGGUAGCGAAAUUCCUUGUCGGGUAAGUUCCGACCUGCACGAAUGGCGUAACGAUGGCGGCGCUGUCUCCACC